rnacentral:misc_RNA from 1 species
GAUGAAGAACGUAGUGAAAUGCGAUACGUAAUGUGAAUUGCAGAAUUCAGUGAAUCAUCGAAUCUUUGAACGCAUAUUGCGCUCUCUGGUAUUCCGGAGAGCAUGCUUGUUUGAGUAUCAGUAAACACCUCAACUCCCUUUUCUUUUUUGAAAUUGGAGCUGGACUUGAGUGAUCCCAACGCUUUCUUCCAAGAAAGUGGCGGGUUGCUUGAAAUGCAGGUGCAGCUGAACUUUUCUCUGAGCUAUAAGCAUAUCUAUUUAGUCUGCCUAAAAAACAGAUUAUUACCUUUGCUGCAGCUAACAUAAAGGAGACUAGUUCUUGUGCUGACUGAUGCAGGAUUCACAGAGACAGCUUCGGCUGACUUUGUAAACUCGAUCUCAAAUCAAGUAAGACUACCCGCUGAACUUAAGCAUAUCAUAAGCGGAGGA